rnacentral:rRNA from 1 species
GCUAAACUUCUAGCCUCAUACAUACCUAUUAAACCCCCAUAAUUUACUAUUUUUCCAAAACAUUUUCUUAGUUUAGUAAAGGUGAUAAAAAAAUUUCUUAGAGCAAUACAAAGAGUACCGUAAGGGAAUAAUGAAAUAAAAAUGAAAUAACUAUUAAGCACUACAAAGUAAAGUUUACCCCUUGUACCUUUUGCAUCAUGGUUUAACUAGUCCUUUUAGGCAAAAAGACUUUCAGUCUAACUUCCCGAACCUAGGUGAGCUACUUUAAGACAGCCUUUAGGGCCAACCCAUCUCUGUUGCAAAAGAGUGGGAAGAUCUUAUAGUAGGGGUGAUAUACCAAACGAGCCUAGUGAUAGCUGGUUGCUUUUUAAAAGGAUUUUAGUCCAACUUAAAGUUUCACACUAUCCUUAUAAAUUUAACUUUAAAGUAAUUCAAAUAAGGCUCAGCCUAUUUGAAAAAGGACACAACCUCUACCACUGGGUUACCCCGCAUUAUAAAAACAAAGUAGGCCUAAAAGCAGCCACCUUAAAAAGCGUCAUAGCUUGUCCUAAAAUUUGCCAUAAUUCCUAAAACCCUCCUCAACCCUUCACCCACAAAAAGCAAUUCUAUAAAUUUAUAGAAGAUUUUAUGUUAAAACUAGUAACAAGAAGUAGCCCUUCUCUAAAAUGUACCUGUAAAUCAACAUAAACCCCAUUGAUAAUUAACGCCUAUAAACUCAUAGUAAAAACUUUCUUAGAAAAUCUUACUAUUACUAACGUUAACCUAACACAAGAACAUUUAAAGAAAGAUUAAAAAAUAAAGAAGGAACUCGGCAAAUAUUAGCUUCGCCUGUUUACCAAAAACAUCGCCUUUUGGCUAAUCAUAAAAGGUCAAGCCUGCCCAGUGACAUUGUUCAACGGCCGCGGUAUCCUAACCGUGCGAAGGUAGCGUAAUCACUUGUCCUUUAAAUAAGGACUAGUAUGAAUGGCUUCACGAAAGCUAUACUGUCUCCUUUAUUUAAUCAGUUAAACUAAUCCCCCCGUGAAGAAGCGGGGAUAUACCUAUAAGACGAGAAGACCCUGUGGAGCUUUAAACACUUUUAAACAUUUGAAUUUUAUACUCUUAUCUUAUCUCAACUAAAUCACUCAUUUUGUUCUAAGUUUUAGGUUGGGGUGACCACGGAGAAUAAAUUAACCUCCACGUAGAAAGAACCUUAUUUUUCUAAGCAAAAAACCACAUUUUUAUGCAUCAAAAUAUUUGACCUAAAUUGACCCAAUUUUUUGAUCAACGAACCAAGUUACCCUAGGGAUAACAGCGCAAUCCGCUUUAAGAGCUCCUAUCGACAAGCGGGCUUACGACCUCGAUGUUGGAUCAGGGUAUCCCAGUGGUGCAGCAACUACUAACGGUUCGUUUGUUCAACGAUUAAAACCCUACGUGAUCUGAGUUCAGACCGGAGCAAUCCAGGUCAGUUUCUAUCUAUAAAGAGUUUAUUCUAGUACGAAAGGACCGAAAAAACAUGGCCAAUGUCUCUAUGUAAGCCAUCCUCUAAAACUUAUGCCAAAACCCUUAAUAAUCAAGUAUCCUAAUAUCAACUCUAAAACCAAGAGUUU